GACGAACGCUGGCGGCGUGCUUAACACAUGCAAGUCGAACGAAGAGCGAUGGAAGCUUGCUUCUAUCAAUCUUAGUGGCGAACGGGUGAGUAACGCGUAAUCAACCUGCCCUUCAGAGGGGGACAACAGUUGGAAACGACUGCUAAUACCGCAUACGAUCUAAACUCGGCAUCGAGGAUAGAUGAAAGGUGGCCUCUACAUGUAAGCUAUCACUGAAGGAGGGGAUUGCGUCUGAUUAGCUAGUUGGAGGGGUAACGGCCCACCAAGGCGAUGAUCAGUAGCCGGCCUGAGAGGAUGAACGGCCACAUUGGGACUGAGACACGGCCCAGACUCCUACGGGAGGCAGCAGUGGGGAAUCUUCCGCAAUGGACGAAAGUCUGACGGAGCAACGCCGCGUGAGUGAUGACGGCCUUCGGGUUGUAAAGCUCUGUUAAUCGGGACGAAAGGCCUUCUUGCGAAUAGUGAGAAGGAUUGACGGUACCGGAAUAGAAAGCCACGGCUAACUACGUG
rnacentral:rRNA from 1 species